rnacentral:rRNA from 1 species
GGGGACAACAGUUGGAAACGACUGCUAAUACCGCAUGACGCAUAGAGGUCGCAUGAUCUUUAUGCCAAAGAUUUAUCGCUUCAAGAUGGCCUCGCGUCUGAUUAGCUGGUUGGCGGGGUAACGGCCCACCAAGGCGACGAUCAGUAGCCGGACUGAGAGGUUGAACGGCCACAUUGGGACUGAGAUACGGCCCAGACUCCUACGGGAGGCAGCAGUGGGGAAUAUUGGGCAAUGGGCGCAAGCCUGACCCAGCAACGCCGCGUGAAGGAAGAAGGCUUUCGGGUUGUAAACUUCUUUUAAGAGGGAAGAGUAGAAGACGGUACCUCUAGAAUAAGCCACGGCUAACUACGUGCCAGCAGCCGCGGUAAUACGUAGGUGGCAAGCGUUGUCCGGAUUUACUGGGUGUAAAGGGCGUGCAGCCGGGUCUGCAAGUCAGAUGUGAAAUCCAUGGGCUCAACCCAUGAACUGCAUUUGAAACUGUGGAUCUUGAGUGUCGGAGGGGCAAUCGGAAUUCCUAGUGUAGCGGUGAAAUGCGUAGAUAUUAGGAGGAACACCAGUGGCGAAGGCGGAUUGCUGGACGAUAACUGACGGUGAGGCGCGAAAGUGUGGGGAGCAAACAGGAUUAGAUACCCUGGUAGUCCACACUGUAAACGAUGAAUACUAGGUGUGCGGGGACUGACCCCCUGG